rnacentral:tRNA from 1 species
GUCUGACUGGCUCAGUUGGUAAAGCGUGGGACUCUAGAUCUCGGGGUUGUGAGUUCGAGCCCCACGUUGGAGG